UUAGGGAAGAGAGAAGUGGUAAGAAGGAACAGUUUAUCCAGGACCAACUUUGACAUGAAGCAAUAGAGUCUUUUGUGAAUGUACACAAUGUACACUGUAAGUUUCUGUACAUCAGUACAGCAACAAGCAGCAUGUGUUUGGUUGAUCCAGCAUGCUGCUCCACAGAGCUGACAGACUCCAACCAUGCUGCAU